GAUGAACGCUGGCGGCGUGCUUAACACAUGCAAGUCGAACGAUGAACCUCACUUGUGGGGGGAUUAGUGGCGAACGGGUGAGUAACACGUGAGUAACCUGCCCUUGACUCUGGGAUAAGCCUGGGAAACCGGGUCUAAUACUGGAUACGACCUUCUGGCGCAUGCCAUGUUGGUGGAAAGCUUUUGUGGUUUUGGAUGGACUCGCGGCCUAUCAGCUUGUUGGUGGGGUAAUGGCCUACCAAGGCGACGACGGGGAGCCGGCCUGAGAGGGUGACCGGCCACACUGGGACUGAGACGCGGCCCAGACUCCUACGGGAGGCAGCAGUGGGGAAUAUUGCACAAUGGGCGCAAGCCUGAUGCAGCGACGCCGCGUGAGGGAUGGAGGCCUUCGGGUUGUAACCCUCUUUCAGUAGGGAAGAAGCCGGCUUUUGGGUUGGUGACGGUACCUGCAGAAGAAGCGCCGGCUAACUACGUG
rnacentral:rRNA from 1 species